UACGUAGGGUGCAAGCGUUAAUCGGAAUUACUGGGCGUAAAGCGUGCGCAGGCGGUGAUGUAAGACAGGGGUGAAAUCCCCGGGCUUAACCUGGGAACUGCAUUUGUGACUGCAUCGCUGGAGUGCGGCAGAGGGGGAUGGAAUUCCGCGUGUAGCAGUGAAAUGCGUAGAUAUCUGGAGGAAUACCGGUGGCGAAGGCGGCAUCCUGGACCGGCAUUGACGCUGAGGAGCGAAAGCCAGGGGAGCAAACGGG
rnacentral:rRNA from 1 species